rnacentral:rRNA from 1 species
AACGAACGCUGGCGGCAUGCCUAACACAUGCAAGUCGAACGAGACCUUCGGGUCUAGUGGCGCACGGGUGCGUAACGCGUGGGAAUCUGCCCUUGGGUUCGGAAUAACUCGCCGAAAGGCGUGCUAAUACCGGAUGAUGACGUACGUCCAAAGAUUUAUCGCCCAAGGAUGAGCCCGCGUUGGAUUAGCUAGUUGGUGAGGUAAAGGCUCACCAAGGCGACGAUCCAUAGCUGGUCUGAGAGGAUGAUCAGCCACACUGGGACUGAGACACGGCCCAGACUCCUACGGGAGGCAGCAGUGGGGAAUAUUGGACAAUGGGCGAAAGCCUGAUCCAGCAAUGCCGCGUGAGUGAUGAAGGCCUUAGGGUUGUAAAGCUCUUUUACCCGGGAUGAUAAUGACCGUACCGGGAGAAUAAGCUCCGGCUAACUCCGUG